AUUUCAUGGGAUGAAUUUCUUGCAAAUGCUGAAAAUUUUAUCAUAGUCUCUGAUCAGAUUUCUGAUGGAUGGCAAUUGUGUGGAAACAAAAUAUAUCACAGGUGAAAUAGUAUUUUUAUAAGUUUUUUUCUGUAAUUACUCCAUUCGGUAAAACAGAACAUGGUCGAUAAAAUGUGAAAAUUAUAAUUUAAAGCAUUGUAAAUAAUUAUUAUAGUUAUUGUA